GACGAACCACACAAACGUUAUUCGGAAUUACUGGGCUUAAAGGGUGCGUAGGCUGCGCAGAAAGUUGGGUGUGAAAUCCCUCGGCUCAACCGAGGAACUGCGCCCAAUACUACUGUGCUCGAGGGAGACAGAGGUGAGCGGAACUUAGGGUGGAGCGGUGAAAUGCGUAGAUAUCGUAAGGAAGACCAGUGGCGAAGGCGGGUCUCUGGACAGUUCCUGACGCUGAGGCACGAAGGUCAGGGGAGCAAACGGG
rnacentral:rRNA from 1 species